GAUGAACGCUGGCGGCGUGCUUAACACAUGCAAGUCGAGCGGAAAGGCCCCUUCGGGGGUACUCGAGCGGCGAACGGGUGAGUAACACGUGAGUAAUCUGCCCUCCACUUCGGGAUAGCCCUGGGAAACCGGGAUUAAUACCGGAUAUGACUCGUCCCUGCAUGGGGGCGGGUGGAAAGUUUUUCGGUGGGGGAUGUGCUCGCGGCCUAUCAGCUUGUUGGUGGGGUAAUGGCCUACCAAGGCUUCGACGGGUAGCCGGCCUGAGAGGGUGACCGGCCACACUGGGACUGAGACACGGCCCAGACUCCUACGGGAGGCAGCAGUGGGGAAUAUUGGACAAUGGGCGGAAGCCUGAUCCAGCAACGCCGCGUGAGGGAUGACGGCCUUCGGGUUGUAAACCUCUUUCAGCGGGGACGAAGCGCAAGUGACGGUACCCGCAGAAGAAGCACCGGCCAACUACGUGCCAGCCGCCGCAGUAAUAC
rnacentral:rRNA from 1 species